AUGGAGGGUGAGAAGAACUCGUCCGGGGACCUGAUGUCCAGCAGCAAGCUGGUCGCGGAGGCCGCCAAGACAGCCUACGAGCAGAAGAGCGUCGAGGGCAUCGACAAGGAAAAGGUAGCCGGCGCCUCCGCCGAGAUGCUGGACUCCGCCGCCAAGUACGGCAAGCUGGAGGACAAGCCGGUGGGACAGUACCUCGAGAAGGCCGAGGGGUACCUGAAACAGUACAGCUCCGGCGGCACCGAGAAGGAGAAAACCGACGCACCUGCUGCCGCUGACGCACCGAAGCCGGAUGCACCCAAGGAGGCAGCGCCUGCACCCGCCGCGGAGGAAGAGAAAGCGUCCGAUGGGUUCGGUCUCGACGACGUCAUGAAGGGGGCUGCAUCGCUGUCCGGGAAGAAGAGUGGCGAGGAGGAGAAGGAGAGCGGCGGCGGCGGCGGGUUCAUGAAGAUGGCUCAGGGGUUCAUGAAGUAG
rnacentral:rRNA from 1 species